CAGGAGCACGGCCCACAGGACGGUCCGCAGCAGGGGCAGCAGCCGCAUCGCCCCCGGGGUGCGCUCCGUUCUCCGCCCGGCGCGUCCCAGGCCCGCUUCACGGUCCGGGAGAGAAAGCACCGGGCAGAGAGCCUUAGUGGAAAUCUGGGAGACCAGAGCCCGAGGGUGAUCGCACACGUCUGUGACCUCAACGCUCGGAAAAUGACCCAGGAGAAGCCAUGUCAGUUUGGGCUCCGUAGCGAGACCCUGUCUAAAUAAAAAAAGUUCUAGUUGUCCAUCCCUGCGAUGCCAGCGGUCACCUCAAGCCCAGGAUUUCCAGAAUCUUGAGCAAGAUUCUCAUUUUAAGGGUUGAUGGUGCAAGAGGAAGGGACACAGUGCCUCCGGGGACACCCCUGCUCCUGUGGAGCCGUGGGUGGCAAGCUAGAUGCCGACUUUGGGUUUAGACCUGGCCCUCCCUUAUCACCACACCCCUUCUCCCCUGGCCGGAGACUCACAAGCCCCGGUCCUGUGGACCUAAGACGGAAGUGAGGAGAUGGUAACAGCCUACACAAAGCGCCUCUGUUCUGGGGCCAGCCGGUGGGGGCGGGGAGGGGCAGGAGGCAGGUGCAAGACUUAAGGGCCGUGGGAACUGCCGCCCCGUUCCACCUAGGCCCCGGGUUCUCCCAACCCCAGUUAAUUCGCUUUUCCCAGCCACUGGUGAGCGCGAGGGUGGACGCAACUCGGGACGGUUUGGGGUGGUUUGUCCUUUAGAGCUGCUGCUGGAAGCUGGGCACCACACAGGACGAAGGCCUGGAGAUUAGGAGCAAACUACUUCCCGGAAUGCAGGAUUGUGCUGAAGGUCAUCCCAAACGGAGCAAAAUCAAGCUGCGGGCAUCCCCAGGACGCAUCCUGGCUGACCCUUUGGGCAACUCCCACCCUCCCCCGCCGGCUCUGGCUUGAGGAAGCAGCGUCUCCUGGUGGCCAGACCUGGAAGUGCAUCAGGGCCAACCAGGGGCAGACAAUUUCCAAGAUCUCACAUUUAUUAUUACAACAGGACAGACAGGCUGUGUGCACCACCUUCAGCCCAGUCAAGGCCCUGCCCCUCCCCAGUACCCAGCUGCAGCGUGUAGGAGAGUCCCAGGGUGCUGCUUAGCAGCACCUGAACGUGGGCAGUUCCUUACUACUGGACACUACAGGGUCUAGACUUCUGCUCCGUUAGUAAGUUGGGGUGUGUGGUGGGGGGACUCCGCCAGAUUCCACUUCUCUGAGUACUGGGUUGGAGGCAGAGGAACCACAGGAGCAGUCAGAGGUAGAGCGAGGAUGCUGCUGGGGGUGGUGGUGCUGGCCUGGAGUUGAUGGUGAGAGAGAGAGAAAACAAAAAAAGUCUUCUUGCCUAGAUCUCUCCCUCCAUCUGCCUACCCUCAGCACCGCCCUCCUCACCUACCUGGAGGGCACCACCGAUGGCAUGCUUCUAGCUCCUGCGCCAGGAUGGUCACCUGAUGGGUGCCAGCCCUGGGGGUCCACAGGCAGUGGCUUUCUUGGGGGUGGGGGCUUGGCACGCCCCUGAGACUGAGAGAGAAGGCAGGAGCCAUCUUGGAGGGGUGUCAAAUUUCCCAACGCCCCAACACAGUGGUGCUGAGGGCAGUUCUAGAGGUCACCAAACAAACCUGGCAUCCUCACAGGCGCCACUAGAACACGUGCCCGCAGGCACGGAGCCAGCGUUAGAGCCCUAGGUGAGGGGAGAGGCGCGCCUUUCUCUGCCCACACUGUUACCUUCGGGCGCCUCACCACAGGGUCAGCGGGCAGAGGGCGAGUGGGGGGACUGGUUCGGCCAGUCAGCUCAGCCUGAACAGAGAGAGGAGCAGUGGCUGUGAAAGCACAUUCAAAGAUGGUGGGCGUGCACAGUCUCCCCGGGGGAGUUGAAGUCAGCAUGCACAGUCAGCAUGCAGAGUCAGCCCAGGGUCUGGAGAGAAGGGGGGCAGGCAGGGAGAUGUCUCAGGGAGGAAGGGGUGCACUAGGGAGUCCCUGGCUGGCUGCAGUCCUACCGUCGACCACAAGGUGGCAGUAGAGACCAAGGCUGGAGGCUCACCCUUUGCUGAUUCAGGGGCUUAAUGAAGACCGAGGGGCCACCCCGGUCCCCUAAUGAAGAGCAGCACUGGUGGGGAGCACCUUGGCACCAAGCCUCCCAUCUGUCCUGAACUAGGGUCCACAGGCUGGCAUCGAUGGUCAAUGCACACCUGUGCCAUGGACAGGAGAGAAGAGUCACAUUCACAGAGCAGGAGACCAACAAGACCUGCCUGCACGGGCGGAGAAGCCAAGGCGCCAUGGGAACAAGACUUUGCUCUAUCCGAGGCACGACUGUGGCCUCCUGCAGAGCCUGUGCGGUUUGCACUGGUGGACGCUGAGGCCUGGGCACUGCUUGCUGUGGUUCAGACAUCCCUCCCUACCUGGCCUUAUCCACCCAGCCUACUCACCAGGCCAGGGCCACAGGCAGUGCCAGGCAGAGCCAGCAGGGGCUGGGCCACAUCGCUGCCCAGGUCCAGGUGCACCCAGCUGCAGUUCAGCUGUGUCCCAUUGGCUUCCAGGGUCUCCCAGAGCAGCUCCUGGGCUGAGCCCAGCAGGGGCUGGCUUCUACCCCCCUGGCACUGCAGCUGCCCACAAAUGGCAUCUCUGGGAGUGGAGAGAUGGAGAGAAGCAGGGUCAGUGGAAGCAGGACGAAGGUCCCCACAGACUCCAAGGAGGAAGCUGUUUUCCCACUUACCUAGGGGUGCAGGGCAUGUAGCUGCCGCUGGGGCUGCGGCCACAGCUCCCGAAGGCAUUGCCACGAGUGUUGGCUGUCUGGAGGCAAAGUGGUGCGGCAGGCCGGGCCUCAGGUCCCCAGAGUGACUGGCACUGCUGGGCAUAGGAGGCGCAGCGUCCAUGCAUGCACACAGCCUGGCCGUUGGCACAGGGCUCACCGUCCCCUAGCCUGACGUCAGGGGGGCACUGGGAGCUAUUGCCUAGGCAGAACUCGGGCAAAUCACAGUCGCCUGUAGGAGGGCGGCACUGCCAGUCAUCUGGGCGCAGCUGUGGAGGGUGGGCAAGCGUUACAGUGAGUGCUUGGUAAGCUUAGCGGGGAGCUUGGGGGUUCGUGGGACAGAGUAACCUUUCACCCUUGCACCUGGCAGUCAAAUCUGUGCUCUCACCUUGCAGUUUUGGCAGCAGGGUCCGUCGGACGCACACUGGGCCCCUGGCCUCAGCUGGCAGGUGAAGUAAUCACAGCAAGGAUCAGUGCAGUCCUGGGGUGGGGUCAAGGUCAAGGUCACGGCAGGAACUGACCUUCAGAGCUGGGGUGGGGUGGCCCACAAGAUGACCCCACCCCCCCUCCCAGAGAGCAAAUCAAGAAGUUGCUGGAGGGGAGCAGGGGAGGGAAAUCUUAUGGCUUAUUGUCUGUAAGCAUAGAAGUUGUCAAUUUAAAAGAAAGUUGCCAGGGCUAAAGAGUUAAAGGUUCUUGCUGCUGGACGUGGUGGCACACACCUUUAUGAAUACAAGGCCACCCUGAGACUACACAGUGAAUUCCAGGUCAUCCUAGGCUACA